rnacentral:rRNA from 1 species
UACGUAGGGGGCAAGCGUUGUCCGGAAUCAUUGGGCGUAAAGCGCGUGUAGGCGGCCCGAUAAGUCCGCUGUGAAAGUCCAGGGCUCAACCCUGGAAUGCCGGUGGAUACUGUCGGGCUCGAGUCCGGAAGAGGCGAGUGGAAUUCCUGGUGUAGCGGUGAAAUGCGCAGAUAUCAGGAAGAACACCAAUGGCGAAAGCAGCUCUCUGGGACGGUACUGACGCUGAGACGCGAAAGCGUGGGGAGCGAACAGG